rnacentral:rRNA from 1 species
AGUGAACGCUGGCGGUAGGCCUAACACAUGCAAGUCGAACGGCAGCACAGGAGAGCUUGCUCUCUGGGUGGCGAGUGGCGGACGGGUGAGGAAUACAUCGGAAUCUACUCUGUCGUGGGGGAUAACGUAGGGAAACUUACGCUAAUACCGCAUACGACCUACGGGUGAAAGCAGGGGAUCUUCGGACCUUGCGCGAUUGAAUGAGCCGAUGUCGGAUUAGCUAGUUGGCGGGGUAAAGGCCCACCAAGGCGACGAUCCGUAGCUGGUCUGAGAGGAUGAUCAGCCACACUGGAACUGAGACACGGUCCAGACUCCUAUGGGAGGCAGCAGUGGGGAAUAUUGGACAAUGGGCGCAAGCCUGAUCCAGCCAUACCGCGUGGGUGAAGAAGGCCUUCGGGUUGUAAAGCCCUUUUGUUGGGAAAGAAAUCCAGCUGGCUAAUACCCGGUUGGGAUGACGGUACCCAAAGAAUAAGCACCGGCUAACUUCGUGCCAACAGCCGCCGCUG